AGAGGGGUGGAUGAGUGGUUUAAGUCGCACGCCUGGAAAGUGUGUAUACGUUAAUAGCGUAUCGAGGGUUCGAAUCCCUUCCCCUCUGCCA
rnacentral:tRNA from 7 species